rnacentral:rRNA from 1 species
GUUUGAUCCUGGCUCAGAUUGAACGCUGGCGGCAAGCCUAACACAUGCAAGUCGAGCGGCAGCGAGAAAAAGUUUACUUUUUUGUCGGCGAGCGGCGAACGGGUGAGUAAUAUCUGGGGAUCUGCCUAGAAGAGGGGGACAACCAUUGGAAACGAUGGCUAAUACCGCAUAACGUUGAAAAACCAAAGUAGGGGACCUUACACUUCUAGAUGAACCCAGACGAGAUUAGCUUGAUGGUAGGGUAACGGCUUACCAAGGCGAUGAUCUCUAGCUGGUCUUAGAGGACAACCAGCCACACUGGAACUGAGACACGGUCCAGACUCCUACGGGAGGCAGCAGUGGGGAAUCUUGCACAAUGGGCGAAAGCCUGAUGCAGCUAUGCCGCGUGUAUGAAGAAGGCCUUCGGGUUGUAAAGUACUUUCGUCAGGGAAGAAAGGAAAAUAACUAAUAAUUAUUUUUUUUGACGUUACUUGAAAAAGA